rfam:Loxodonta africana unplaced genomic scaffold scaffold_108, whole genome shotgun sequence.
GGCUCUGUGGCGCAAUGGAUAGCGCAUUGGACUUCUAGCUUUCCUCUGAAAGAGAUUCAAAGGUUGCGGGUUCGAGUCCCGCCAGAGUCG